rnacentral:rRNA from 1 species
UGACGGGUAACGGAGAAUUAGGGUUCGAUUCCGGAGAGGGAGCCCGAGAAACGGCUACCACAUCUAAGGAAGGCAGCAGGGCGCGCAAUUCACCCAUUUUUACACGGGGAGGUAGUGACAAGAAAUAACAGUGGCUGGUCUCUUUGAGAAUAUGCAUCUGGAAUGAUUUGGAUGUAAAUAUCGCUUGGACUAUCAAUUGGAGGGCAAGUCUGGUGCCAGCAGCCGCGGUAAUUUCCAGCUCAUUAGUGUAUAUUAAAGUUGUUGCGGUUAAAAAGCUCGUAGUUGGAUUUCUGUUGGGUAUCGC